CGAAAGUUUUCUUCGGGAAACGAGUAGAGUGGCGCACGGGUGAGUAACGCGUAAGUAAUCUACCCUGGCAUCUGGAAUAACUCACCGAAAGGUGUGCUAAUACCGGAUACGCUGAGAAAUCAGGAAAGGUGGCCUCUUCAUGAAUGCUACUGUGCUUGGAGGAGCUUGCGUACCAUUAGCUAGUUGGUAGGGUAAUGGCCUACCAAGGCGACGAUGGUUAGCGGGUCUGAGAGGAUGAUCCGCCACACUGGAACUGGAACACGGACCAGACUCCUACGGGAGGCAGCAGUGAGGAAUUUUGCGCAAUGGGGGAAACCCUGACGCAGCAACGCCGCGUGGAGGAUGAAGGUUUUCGGAUUGUAAACUCCUGUCAGUGGGGAAAAAGCGAGCUGAUCUAAUACGUCAGUGAGUUGAUUGUACCCGCAGAGGAAGCCCCGGCUAACUCUGUGCCAGCAGCCGCGGUAAUACAGAGGGGGCAAGCGUUAUUCGGAAUUAUUGGGCGUAAAGGGCGCGUAGGCGGCCGCACAAGUGGAAGGUGAAAUCCCCCGGCUCAACCGGGGAACUGCCUUCCAAACUGAGUGGCUUGAGUCCGGGAGAGGUGAGUGGAAUUCCCAGUGUAGCGGUGAAAUGCGUAGAUAUUGGGAGGAACACCGGUGGCGAAGGCGGCUCACUGGACCGGAACUGACGCUGAGGCGCGAAAGCGUGGGGAGCAAACGGGAUUAGAUACCCCGGUAGUCCACGCCGUAAACGAUGAGUGCUUGGUGUAGCGGGUAUCGACCCCUGCUGUGCCGAAGCUAACGC
rnacentral:rRNA from 1 species